rnacentral:rRNA from 1 species
AAGAGAGCUACCAGGAUUCCCCUAGUAACGGCGAGUGAAGCGGGAUGAGCUCAAAUUUAAAAUCUGGCUGGUUUACUAGUCCGAAUUGUAGUUUAAAGAAGCGUUUUCGGUGGCAGCCUGGGUAUAAAUCCUUUGGAACAGGGUAUCAUAGAGGGUGAGAAUCCCGUCUUUGACUCAGUGCAUGCUACUAUGUGAUACGUUUUCAAAGAGUCGAGUUGUUUGGGAAUGCAGCUCAAAAUGGGUGGUAAAUUUCAUCUAAAGCUAAAUAUUGGCGAGAGACCGAUAGCGAACAAGUACCGUGAGGGAAAGAUGAAAAGAACUUUGAAAAGAGAGUUAAACAGUGCGUGAAAUUGUUGAAAGGGAAACGCUUGACACCAGUCAUGCGAGCGGAAAAUCAGUCUUUUGCAGUGGGGAGUUGUGUGGGUUCGGACCGCAAGGCCGGCCUGCGCUGCAUCUCUGCUGUAAGUGAUGCACUUUUUCGUUUGCAGGCCAACAUCAGUUUCUUCUGCUGGACAAAACUCUUGAGAAGGUGGCAGCUUAGGCUGUGUUAUAGCUCUUGAGCGAUACAGUGGAGGGGACUGAGGUUUUCGCAGCGCGUGCUCUCGGGCAAGGCUGAUUGGGUGCUAUGGGAUCGUUCGGUGUACAAUGCAUGCAUUUUGCGCCGUGUCUUUUCUAUACUCGCUCAACUCGGCUCUUCCGCGCUUAGGAUGUUGGCUUAAUGGUUUUAAUCGACCCGUCUUGAAACACGGACCAAGGAGUCUAACAUAUAUGCAAGUGUUUGGGUGGCAAACCCAUGCGCGUAAUGAAAGUGAACGUAGGUGCGAUCCGCAAGGUGCAGCAUCGACCGAUCUUGAUAUUUUUGGAUAGAUUUGAGUAAGAGCAUAUAUGCUGGGACCCGAAAGAUGGUGAACUAUGCCUGAAUAGGGUGAAGCCAGAGGAAACUCUGGUGGAGGCUCGUAGCGAUUCUGACGUGCAAAUCGAUCGUCAAAUUUGGGUAUAGGGGGCGAAAAGACUAUCGACCUCUGACGCC